UACGAACCGUGCGAACGUUAUUCGGAAUCACUGGGCCUAAAGCGCGUGUAGGCGGGCGGGUAAGUCGGCCGCUGAAAGCCCCCGGCUCAACCGGGGAAGGGGUGCCGAAACGGCCGGCCUGGAGGGGCGUAGGGGGACCUGGAACUUCCGGUGGAGCGGUGAAAUGCGUUGAGAUCGGAAGGAACGCCCGUGGCGAAAGCGAGGUCCUGGACGCCAACUGACGCUGAGGAGCGAAAGCGUGGGGAGCGAACAGG
rnacentral:rRNA from 1 species